rnacentral:rRNA from 1 species
AAUGGACGAAAGUCUGACGCAGCAACGCCGCGUGCAGGAUGAAGGCCCUUUGGGUUGUAAACUGCUGUAGAAAGGGAAUAAUAGUUUGCCACGGGUGAACUUGAAGGUACCUUUAAAGUAAGCGCCGGCUAACUACGUGCCAGCAGCCGCGGUAAUACGUAGGGCGCAAGCGUUGUCCGGAUUCACUGGGUGUAAAGGGUGCGCAGGCGGAUUGGCAAGUCAGAGGUGAAAUCUCACGGCUCAACCGUGAAACUGCCUUUGAUACUGCUUAUCUUGAGUUCGGGAGAGGUUGAUGGAAUUCCAGGUGUAGCGGUGAAAUGCGUAGAUAUCUGGAAGAACACCAGUGGCGAAGGCGGUCAACUGGCCCGCAACUGACGCUCAUGCACGAAAGCGUGGGGAUCAAA